CUUCUGGAGAGUCCAGACUGCAGACUGGAGACCCUCAGGAUCAGAGAUAAUGUGACGAUCAUAGCCAAGAUCCAGAAGAACUGAACUCCCAUCCCCCGAGUCCUGCGGCAGGAAGCGCUCCUUCUCUCCAAGAACUCCUGGACCCUGCAAGCUGCUCCAGAACCAGAGUCCCAGUGAGGAGUCCAACCAGUCGACCUCUCAGAGUUAAACUACACUACAACAUUAUUAAAGAUCAUGUUGAAAGUUAAAAAAGGAUGCUUUCAGACUGAAUCCAGAAGUUUCUCAAGCUGCAGUCAAAGCAGAUCAUUUGUGAAAUAUAUA